ACGCUCGACACCUACGGGGGGCAGCAGUGGGGAAUAUUGCACAAUGGGGGAAACCCUGAUGCAGCGACGCCGCGUGAGCGAAGAAGUAUUUCGGUAUGUAAAGCUCUAUCAGCAGGGAAGAAAAUGACGGUACCUGACUAAGAAGCCCCGGCUAACUACGUGCCAGUAGCCGUGGUAAUCUGAGCGGGCUGGCAAGGC
rnacentral:rRNA from 1 species